GGGAUUCGCUAGCGGCGCCCUCUAGUGGCGUUUCGCGGAGCCUUGGCGGAAACCCUACUGGGAGCCGGUGUGUCCCCCAGUAACAUUUGCAAAUGAAAGAAGGUAAUUCCCUCUGCAGCCCCCCGACAAGUGACCUUGCUCUUUUCUCCUUGGCCAGUGGGAAGCAAACUCAGGAGCUCUGGCCUUAGGAGAUGGGAGGAAGACUAAAGCAGCAGUUCUCAAAGUGUGAUCCGGGAGACCCUGCAGAUCCCAAGAUCCUUUCUAGAGUUUCGGUGGGAGAACUAGUUUUAGAAUUAUAGACGUCAUUUGCCUUUUAAACUCACAAUGGAAUUUUCCAGAGGCGACCUGAUGUCUAAUGAUGACACUGCUCUUAUGACCAAAGGAAUGUGAGCUCGUAUAUUCUUUUAGAAUUUCCUAAGGGAUGGGAUCUUGCUAAGUUGCCUAGGCUAGCCUCGAACUCCUGGCUUCAAGCACUCCUCCUGCCUCAGCCUCCCAAAGUGCUGGGAUGACAGGUGUGAGCUGCCAUGCCUGGCCGUUACAACUGUCUUGUGAAGCACUCAUGAAAGGUGGCCGGGUACCACUGUAUCAAUGGCCCAGUUGCCCAUCUCCUGGCGAGAGAUUUCCCUAAGUGACCUGGAAGUGUCACUAUUACCACCGCCCCACAUGAAUCUUGUGCUGGAGGCGACUAGAGCUGUGUGUCCCUCAGCAGAAGCAGGUGGCAUAAGCAAGAGUUCCAUUUUGGUUUCAUUUUCAGAGGACCCCAAUUGCGCAGUCUGCAAGAAAUAAUGUGCCUCUCAGGAUGGUUCCAAGCUGAGCCCAAAUCACUGAGGGAGAUUCACUGCUUGCUAACAUGAACUUUAUUCCUGGAUAAACAAGUCCCAAACCGUCUUGUCCAUAUGCCACCACGGUCAGGUCAAAACACACAUUAUCAGCUGGGUGCGGUGGCUCACGCUUGUAAUCCCAGCACUUCGGGAGGCCGAGGUGGGCGGAUCACUUGAGGUCAGGAGUUGGAGAUCAGCCUGGCCAACAUGGUGAAACCCCGUCUCUACUAAAAAUACAAAAAUUAGCCGGGCGUGGUGGUACGUGUCUGUAGUCCCAGGUACUCAGAAGGCUGAAGACAUGAGAAUCGCUUGAACCCAGGGGGCGGAGGUUGCUGAGCUGAGAUCAUGCCACUGCACUCGAGCCUGGACAACAGAGUGAGAUCCUAUGCCAAAAACAAACAAUAAAAACCAACAACAAAAAA
rnacentral:lncRNA from 1 species